AGCAGCCACUCAUUAAAAGAGUGCGUAAUAGCUCACUGGUCGAGUGACUCUGCGCCGAAAAUUUAACGGGGCUAAACUAUACACCGAAGCUUGGGAUACAUCUAAUGUAUGGUAGGAGAGCGUUCUGUAUGGGGCGAAGUCGUAGCGAAAGCGGCGGUGGACUAUACAGAAGUGAGAAUGCCGGAAUAAGUAGCGAGAAUUAAGUGAGAAUCUUAAUGGCCGAAAGUCUAAGGUUUUUGGAGGAAGGUUCGUCCGCUCCAAGUAAGUCGGGAGCUAAGGUCAGGCCGAAAGGCGUAGCCGAUGCACAUACGGUUGAUAUUCCGUAACCAUCUGUAAUUUAAGCAAAGGGACACUUCAAAAGGGUGUGACCCGGGCGUUGGUUGACCCGGGCGUAAGGGACCGAAAUUAGAGUAGGGAAGCACACUUAGCUGAAGGCGAGAAAAGCUUUGCGUAUAGAAGCAGAUGCCCGUACCGCAAACCGACACAGGUGGACAGGAAGAGAAUUCUAAGGCCAGCGGGAGAAGGGUAGUUAAGGAACUCGGCAAAUUGACUCCGUAACUUCGGAAUAAGGAGUGCUCGAAAGAGCCGCAGAGAAUAGGCCCAGGCGACUGUUUAGCAAAAACACAGGUCUCUGCCAAAUCGAAAGAUGAAGUAUAGGGGCUGACACCUGCCCGGUGCCGGAAGGUUAAGAGGAGGAGUGAGAGCUCCGAAUUGAAGCCCCGGUAAACGGCGGCCGUAACUAUAACGGUCCUAAGGUAGCGAAAUUCCUUGUCGGGUAAGUUCCGACCCGCACGAAUGGUGUAACGAUCUGGACACUGUCUCAACUACCCACCCGGCGAAAUUGUAGUACCGGUGAAGAUGCCGGUUACCUGCGGCAAGACGGAAAGACCCCAUGGAGCUUUACUGUAGCCUGAUAUUGGGUUUCGGAAAUCUAUGUACAGGAUAGGCGGGAGACUGGGAAACAUGAGCGUCAGCUUGUGUGGAGUCGAUGUUGGGAUACCGCCCUUAGGUUUCUGGAAUUCUAACCUGCGGCCGUGAAUCCGGUCGGGGGACAUUGUCAGGUGGGCAGUUUGACUGGGGCGGUCGCCUCCGAAAAGGUAACGGAGGCGCUCAAAGGUUAGCUCAGCACGGACGGAAACCGUGCCUCUGAGUGUAAACGCAAAAGCUAGCCUAACUGCGAGGGUGACGGCCCGAGCAGUAACGAAAGUUGGAGUUAGUGAUCCGGCGGUAUGUGAAUGGAAAUGC
rnacentral:rRNA from 1 species